rfam:TPA: Bos taurus chromosome 2, whole genome shotgun sequence.
UCCCUGGUGGCUCAGAUGGCAAAGCGUCUGCCUGCAAUGCAGAAGACCUGGUUUCGAUCUCUGGGUCGGGAA